rnacentral:rRNA from 1 species
AAUCAACGCUGGCGGCGUGCCUCAGACAUGCAAGUCGAACGAUUAAAGCUCUCUUCGGAGAGUGUAUAGAGUGGCGCACGGGUGAGUAACACGUAAGUAAUCUACCUUUGAGUGGGGAAUAACCCGGGGAAACCCGAGCUAAUACCGCAUAAUGCAGCGGCAUCGCAAGAUGACAGUUGUUAAAGGAGCAAUCCGCUUAAAGAGGAGCUUGCGGCAGAUUAGCUAGUUGGUAAGGUAAUGGCUUACCAAGGCUACGAUCUGUAUCCGGUCUAAGAGGACGGUCGGACACACUGACACUGAAUAACGGGUCAGACUCCUACGGGAGGCAGCAGUCGGGAAUUUUGGGCAAUGGGCGAAAGCCUGACCCAGCAACGCCGCGUGAAGGAUGAAGUAUUCGGUAUGUAAACUUCGAAAGAAUAGAANAAUAAAUGACGGUACUAUUUAUAAGGUCCGCUACUACGUGCCAGCCGCCGCAGUAAG